UUUCCCCUGCGGUGUUCGGAACGGCUUAAAUUCCUUGAACCAAUAGUUGGUAACUGGUUGCCAGCACCCUUGCACAAGCGUGUCGCGCCGCAUAGUCCGGUGUGCCCAACGUGCAAAGCCGGCGACCCCCUGAUCCGCAAGGUUCAGGAUGACCGGUCGGAUCGGCAUUCGCGGGGGACCC
rnacentral:other from 1 species